rnacentral:rRNA from 1 species
UACAGAGGGUGCUAGCGUUGUUCGGAAUCAUUGGGCGUAAAGGGCGUGUAGGCGGUUUGUUAAGUCAUGUGUGGAAUCCCUCGGCUCAACCGGGGAACGACGCAUGAAACUGGCAAGCUAGAGUACCAAAGAGGGGGGUGGAAUUCCUGGUGUAGCGGUGAAAUGCGCAGAUAUCAGGAGGAACACCGGUGGCGAAGGCGGGUCUCUGGGCCGAUACUGACGCUGAGGAGCGAAAGCGUGGGGAGCGAACAGG